GAUGAACGCUGGCGGCGUGCCUAAUACAUGCAAGUCGAGCGAAUGGAUUAAGAGCUUGCUCUUAUGAAGUUAGCGGCGGACGGGUGAGUAACACGUGGGUAACCUGCCCAUAAGACUGGGAUAACUCCGGGAAACCGGGGCUAAUACCGGAUAAUAUUUUGAACUGCAUGGUUCAAAAUUGAAAGGCGGCUUCGGCUGUCACUUAUGGAUGGACCCGCGUCGCAUUAGCUAGUUGGUGAGGUAACGGCUCACCAAGGCAACGAUGCGUAGCCGACCUGAGAGGGUGAUCGGCCACACUGGGACUGAGACACGGCCCAGACUCCUAGGGGAGGCUGCAGUAGGGAAUCUUCCGCAAUGGACGAAAGUCUGACGGAGCAACGCCGCGUGAGUGAUGAAGGCUUUCGGGUCGUAAAACUCUGUUGUUAGGGAAGAACAAGUGCUAGUUGAAUAAGCUGGCACCUUGACGGUACCUAACCAGAAAGCCACGGCUAACUACGUGCCAGCCGCCGCCGUAA
rnacentral:rRNA from 1 species